UAGAUCUAUAGUUCAGUGGUUAGAACAUAUGCCUGAUAAGCGUAAGGUCGGUAGUUCAAGUCUACCUAGGUCUAA
rnacentral:tRNA from 1 species